rnacentral:tRNA from 1 species
GCGCCCGUAGCUCAGCUGGAUAGAGCGCUGCCCUCCGGAGGCAGAGGUCUCAGGUUCAAAUCCUGUCGGGCGCUCCA